rnacentral:rRNA from 1 species
ACUGCUCAGUAACACGUGGAUAACCUGCCCUCAGGUCCGGCAUAACCUCGGGAAACUGAGGAUAAUUCCGGAUAUCUCUUCUCUGUUGGAAUCACUUGAAGAGACAAAGAAUUUCGCCUGAGGAUGGGUCUGCGGCCUAUCAGGUUGUAGGGGGUGUAAUGUACCCUCUAGCCGACAACGGGUACGGGUUGUGAGAGCAAGAGCCCGGAGAUGGAUUCUGAGACAUGAAUCCAGGCCCUACGGGGCGCAGCAGGCGCGAAAACUUUACAAUGCAGGAAACUGUGAUAAGGAGACACCGAGUGCCCGCAUCAAAUGCGGGCUGUCCGCAUACUUAAAUCGUAUGCGUUAGCAAGGGCCGGGCAAGACCGGUGCCAGCCGCCGCGGUAAUACCGGUGGCCCGAGUGGUAGCCGCUUUUAUUGGGUCUAAAGGGUCCGUAGCCUGUUCGGUCAGUCCAUUGGGAAAUCCGGAUGCUCAACAUCCGGGCUUCCAGUGGAUACUGCCGAACUUGGGAUCGGGGGAGGUAAGAGGUACUACAGGGGUAGGAGUGAAAUCUUGUAAUCCUUGUGGGACCACCUGUGGCGAAGGCGUCUUACCAAAACGAGUCCGACGGUGAGGGACGAAAGCUGGGGGCACGAACCGGAUUAGAUACCCGGGUAGUCCCAGCCGUAAACGAUGCUCGCUAGGUGUCAGGCAUGGCGUGACUGUGUCUGGUGCCGAAGGGAAGCCGUGAAGCGAGCCACCUGGGAAGUACGGCCGCAAGGCUGAAACUUAAAGGAAUUGGCGGGGGAG